CGUUUUGCUGCUAUUUGGUUCUCUAGGCUAUGAAAGGGUAUUGGCUGCUUUUCGAUACUGCUGUAAGCUUGCUAUUAACUAGUAAUUAAUUAGGUGUUAUAUCCAUUGCUGCUUGGCAUAACUUGGAGAAAUAAUUUGAUGUGAAAUUUGCUAAUCAUCUAGCCUCAGUCUCUGUACAGGGGAAACAAAUUGAUGCCGUACAUUUCAUUCAUGCCUUCCAGCUUACUGAAAGCUUUCCCUCUGUUCCCCUCUUGAAGACAUACUUGAAGAAUUGAAGAAGAAACUCACAGGGAAAGGGUGUGAGUUCGGGUAGAGAUACUAGUGACAGAUUGAUGUAAAUGCACAGGAAUCUGCUGCUUUGAAAGCUGUAGUUAGUUGUGUCCAAGAGUACAGGCUUGAACCUGACUAUCCUCUUGAUCCACUUCAGGGAAGGAUUUAACAACUGGAGAAGUCGAAAUCUGAUAAGAAAAGGGGUGGAGAUUUUGGUAGAAGUCAAAACUUCAAGAAACAAAGAGCAAACUGAGGAUACCGUGGAUUUCUUUCUCACAGUGGCAAGGCAGCUCCUCGUAGGCUUGUUCUGCCUGUUUUCUGAUGUGUUGUGCACUUGCGGGAAAAGCGCAACAUUUUCUUUGACAGGGCAGCAUAUGGAGGAAUGCCUGAGAGAUAUCCUCUGGCUGGUCCAAACUCUUAUGAUUAUCAAGUUCCUAGCCACCCUGUUUUUGUUCAGCAACCAAAUGAUCAAAGAAUAUGCUUUUAUCGUCAAGAUGUAGUUAUCAAAUGUAAGAUUUAUGUGCAACCUUAGUGAAUGUGCAGAGAAAUUGUUGGUGAGUGAAUGACAUUUUCCCACCCAUGUUUGGCUGUAAAACACUUCUUCACCCCUAACUGACAUAAAUAACAUUUCUUCAUCCAAAAUCAUAUAUAAAUAAUA